rnacentral:rRNA from 1 species
AUUGAACGCUGGCGGCAUGCUUUACACAUGCAAGUCGAACGGUAACAGGCCGCAAGGUGCUGACGAGUGGCGAACGGGUGAGUAAUGCAUCGGAACGUGCCCAGUCGUGGGGGAUAACUACUCGAAAGAGUAGCUAAUACCGCAUACGAUCUAUGGAUGAAAGCGGGGGACCGUAAGGCCUCGCGCGAUUGGAGCGGCCGUUGUCAGAUUAGGUAGUUGGUGGGUAAAGGCUCACCAAGCCAACGAUCUGUAGCUGGUCUGAGAGGACAACCAGCCACACUGGGACUGAGACACGGCCCAGACUCCUACGGGAGGCAGCAGUGGGGAAUUUUGGACAAUGGGCGCAAGCCUGAUCCAGCAAUGCCGCGUGCAGGAAGAAGGCCUUCGGGUUGUAAACUGCCUUUGUACGGAACGAAACGGCUCUGGUUAAUACCCGGGGCUAAUGACGGUACCGUAAGAAUAAGCACCGGCUAACUACGUG